CGUGUCACAACUGACAUUUGUUAAAGUGCAUUGUUGCCUUGAACAUAGUUAGAUACGUGGCAACAAGUACAGAAACUAAAAUAAAACACUUUUUUCACCAUGAGAGGGAAAAAAUGGAUAAACGUUUUGUCUUCCUUUUGUUACUGUUUCCAUUUCCACUUGCAAAGCUUUGUAAACCGCAUUAACACCAGCUAGAAGCUUCCAUGGAUGUUCUCUCUGUGAAGCAAGCAAGUAGCUCAGUCUGUAUACUCUAUGUGCUUGCACAUUUUGGUGAGGGUGUUGUAUAUCAUCUUUCAUUGGUGAGGUUUUUAAAAGAUGGAACAAAUCAAUUAGCUCAAUACAGUUCCUCUGUUGCAAGGUGAGUUGUUACCUUUUGUUGUUUCAUGUGUUAUAUUUGCAUUGAAAUUCAGUUGUCACUAGACUGUGAUACUUUAGUUAUUUAAGAUAGGGUCAAUUGAGUUGAUAACAAACUUAAGGACCUCUGGUUGCCCUUAAUUACAGAGCCGUGUGAUGAUAACAUAGUGAACUAUUCUUUCGCCUUUUACUAAAGAAUACCGUGUCAGUGUUACAAUUAGCGGCAUACGCUAGUUUUUGGAAGAGUAAAGUCCUCUAGAUUGAGGGCUUUGCAAUUUAGUUCGAAUUUAUCAAUUUUCAUUGAUGAUUUUUAAGCUUAGUUUAUUUUUAAAAUUUUAGAAACUUUAAUACUAUGAUUGACAAAAAUUUAAAUUUUAUAGGUAUAAUGCAUUAUUAGGGUUCCAUAAAACUAGUUGGAUCAUAUUUCUGUGGUGUAUUGUCCUUGGAACAAAAUUAGCUAUUUCUCUUUUUCUAGCAUUUUGGGCACUUGAUGUUAUGGUUUUGUGGCAUAAAACAAAAACUUGUGAUACAUUACCCUGAUGUCUUUCCAUAACAGUAUCUUGCUAGCUACUCAUAUUAGAUUGAGGUUUCUCUGGGUGUAUCUUGGAAUUAUCAGAAUUAGAUGUGUUUUGGAGACUUCCA